AUUGAACGCUGGCGGCAUGCUUUACACAUGCAAGUCGAACGGUAACAGGCCUUCGGGUGCUGACGAGUGGCGAACGGGUGAGUAAUGCAUCGGAACGUGCCCAGAGGUGGGGGAUAACGCAGCGAAAGCUGUGCUAAUACCGCAUGUGAUCUGAGGAUGAAAGCGGGGGACCAAGCAGCAAUGUUUGGCCUCGCGCCUCUGGAGCAGCCGAUGUCAGAUUAGGUAGUUGGUGGGGUAAAGGCCUACCAAGCCGACGAUCUGUAGCUGGUCUGAGAGGACGACCAGCCACACUGGGACUGAGACACGGCCCAGACUCCUACGGGAGGCAGCAGUGGGGAAUUUUGGACAAUGGGCGCAAGCCUGAUCCAGCAAUGCCGCGUGCGGGAAGAAGGCCUUCGGGUUGUAAACCGCUUUUGUACGGAACGAAAAGGCUCUGGCUAAUACCUGGGGCUGAUGACGGUACCGUAAGAAUAAGCACCGGCUAACUACGUG
rnacentral:rRNA from 1 species